rnacentral:lncRNA from 1 species
GGGUGGGUGCAGCUGGCAGUGAGAGACUCUGCCUCUUCAACACGGAUGGCUCCUCCCGCUGCCGCUGCUGCUCCAGGAGACAGGUUCUUAUGCAGGAAUGAAAGACAUGGAGGGGAAGAGGGGGGCCAGCUCCCUGAGUCCUGUGUCCACCAGCUGCUGCUAAAUACCUCUCAGAAACUCUGCUUCUAGCUAAGGGGACCUACUUCUCUCAGGAAUCUCAAUACUUGGAACAAGAACCUCGUGGAUGGACCCUUUGGCAAAAUGAAUUGGACCAACCAUAGGUUCCAGGACUGGAGAGCCAGCAAUGCCUCCCUGGACAAUCCCACUCAAUUACUCUGCUCAGAGAACAUCACCACCCUGAAGCCAGAGACUAACCCUGAAGGACUCAGCAGUCUAAGCACAGCAGCCACAGCCCUUUCUGGCUCCAUUGCUGUGGUGGCCCUCAUCUUGCUCCUGGUGGGUCUCUUGUCCAUGACCCUGAAGAAAUGGAGGCAUGAGAGUGAGUUGAACAAUCUGGCCCUGGAACUGGGAAUGAAGAGAGGAGAAACUGGGGGCAGAGACUGGGGUGUCUUUCCUACGGGCAGCCUUGUCG